ensembl:lncRNA
CAUAGUUCAGAUGUUCACCCCAUUGGAGACCAUCAGUCUCAUUAUUGAUUGACCAAUAUCAGAAGAGUAACUGUGGCAGUCAACUGUGAUAUUUAUUGCUUUUUUCUAUUUCACCUUUGUUUCCAGCUGCUUCUUCCAGCAGCUCAUUGGCCUCGCCUGGUUCCUCCCCUUCCGCCUGAGGGGGUUCAGCUAGAACCUUCACAGAGUGAUCCGGUGCAGCUUGGGGCUCCACAGCGUCAUGUGGCAAAUGGACAUCCGUCGGGUCUAUGAUCUCAUUGUUAUACGCCUCCUCACCAAGGGCAUUUUCUUCAGGCUCCCCCACACCCGGGAAUGUUCCGGGGGUGAAAGCCUGGUUCUCGGGGCUCGGCUCCACGGAGGCCCCCCCAGCGUCCUGCGGCUCUGGGGCGGAGAUCACCAGCACUUCUAGGAGAGGGGUUUGGCUCAAGGGCAUCCUCCUCCCGUACUGCUUCCUCAUCUGCUUUCACUUCUCCUGCUACUUCCACCUGCCCCCAAGCUGCCUCCACCACCCUCUCCAGCAGCACCUUCAGCACUUCCUCCGCCCCACGGGUCUCCACCUGCUCUGAGGCCUCCUGCACGGCCUGCUGUACUUCCUUCAGGCUGGGGGGGGCCACCGCAGGUACCACCUCUGCAGGGGGCUCUGGUUCUUGGAGGACGGUUGGCCCAUCAUGCAAGGGCACCACUGUGGAGGACUGGAUGGAGGAUUAGGUCUGAAAGGUUAAUACGGUCACAUGAGCUUCACGGUGUGCUUUGUGCUACCAGGCAGUAGCACUGCAUACUUGUGACUGGGCUGGAGGGAGGGAUUGUUACCAUGAAGCUAAGUGUGCUUAUACCAACAAUUUCUUACAGUUCCGCACCUUUUUACAUUUCUCACAUACACUUGACACUUAAUGAAAUCAACCUACUGUCAUUUGUUUAAUGGUUUAAAAUAUUUUACCAUACAUUUCAUGUUUUAAAUGUGUUUAUUUUGUCUUAUAUCACUGCACUGUGUUCAUAGGGUUGCACCAAUAAUAAAGGCAAAUUCUGUUCCGCAACGUUCUUGGCAAUAAACUUUCUUUUCUCUACAUACAGAGUCCCACAGUACACAGAACCCGUGCAUAAAUGCUCUAAAGUCAGUAAAAAAAACGGAUCAAGGGUUCCCCUGAACGCUCGACGAGUCGUCACCGCCAAGGUCGGCGGUGGGAUGGGAAGAAG